GUAGGAGGCAAGCGUUAUCCGGAUUCACUGGGCGUAAAGCGCGUGCAGGUGGUGCGGUAAGUUAGGCGUGAAAUCUCCCGGCUCAACUGGGAGAGGUCGUCUAAUACUACCGUACUUGAGAGCAGAAGAGGAAGAUGGAAUUCCCGGUGUAGUGGUGAAAUGCGUAGAUAUCGGGAGGAACACCAGUGGCGAAGGCGAUCUUCUGGUCUGUUUCUGACACUCAGACGCGACAGCUAAGGUAGUAAACGGGAUUGAAAACCCCGGUAAUCCUAGCCGUAAACGAUGUGAACUUGGCGUUGGUGGGUUAAACUCCAUCAGUGCCGAUACUUUYUCGAUAAGUUCACCGCCUGGGGACUACGGCCGCUCCCU
rnacentral:rRNA from 1 species